GAGAUUUGGAUUUCUAGAUAUUUUGGCCCAAAACAGCAGAAGUCGACUCAUGAGUCGACUCAUGCCUUGUGGGUCGACUCAUGAGCCGACUCACAGGUCGUGCCAAGCCAAAAAACCAGCGUGCCAAGGGAAAUUUUAGCGUGCCAAGCAGCUCAUUUCGCCAUGAGUUGACUCAUGAGUCGACUCAUGCACUUCAAACAUUCAUAACUUCAAAAAUAUAAGUCCAAAAAUAAUGAAAUUUUCACCAAUAGAUUACAAAUCAUUUGUUCUACCAAAUGAUACUAUCAAAUCAGAAUUUUAGUAAAAUUAUGAUUUUGCCCCUGAAGAGUAUAAAGACUUUUUCAAAUAAAAAUAUUUGUAUCCCUUCAAUCUGCUUUGUAAUCAUCAAAAUCAAUCUAGGAGCAACACCUAGGCACCCAAGAGGGCCUAUAAAUAGACCUAACCUACUUCUCUCCUCUCAUCUAGCCCUAAGCCUCUAUAAAUCCUCCCAUAUGCUGCUGCCCUCUCUCUUCUUCAUUUUUUCAUAAGCCAUGCUUUUCUUUCUCUCUGCUACAUAGAAACCUAGCCGCCCCCUUUCUCCCUUCACACACUUCUAGG
rnacentral:lncRNA from 1 species